ensembl:lncRNA
CUUCCUUUCUUUUUUUCCAGUAGGGGCAGGGGCCUAUAUAUUUUGCAGCUCAUGUCUGAAGGGCUGGCUCCAAGCGCCAGGGGUGGGCUCUCUCUCUCUGAUGGUUUUCCACGCUGCGGCUCCGGGGCCGCCGCCAACAACGGCGCAGAGGCGGGGGCCGCGGCAGGGGGGUUCCCGACCGGCGGGCGGUGCAAAGGAAUGGACGUUAAACGCGAGGUCGAGGACGGAGAGGAUUUCAGCCGGAACUCGACAUUUUUACUUUCUAGUUUUCAGACUGAGUUCGGAAUGAGGGGUGAACUGGUCCGAAUGGUUGGAUUGUUUACCAAGUUCAGUCCUGUCGCUGUGCUUUUGUGACACCUACAAAUGGUUUGAGAUCCUCCAUUGGUGCUCAAUUAAUAUUAAUUGAUAAAGAAUUCCCAACAGUGGUGAUACCUCUAUUGACAAAAUGUGCUUUUCUUAUAUAAAUCAGAUAUUGUUGUGUUUUGGACUGUUGUAAAAUGACAUACAUUUGGAGUUGUGUUGCAUGGACACUUUUAGACUCU